AUUGAACGCUGGCGGCAGGCCUAACACAUGCAAGUCGAACGAGUGGCGGACGGGUGAGUAAUGUCUGGGAAACUGCCUGAUGGAGGGGGAUAACUACUGGCAACGGUAGCUAAUACCGCAUACCAUCAGAUGUGCCCCGAUGGGAUUAGCUUGUUGGUGGGGUAACGGGUCACCAAGGCGAAGAUCCCUCGCUGUGAUGAGCGGAUGACCAGCAACACUGGAACUGAGACACGGGCCAGACUCCGACGUGAGGCAGCAGGGGGGAAUAUUUCACAAUGGGCGCCAGCCUGAUUCAGCCAUGCCGAGUGUAUGAAGAAGGCCUUCGGGUUGUAAAGUACUUUCAGCGGGGAGGCGUUACCCGCAGAAGAAGCACCGGCUAACUCCGUGCCAGCAGCCGCGGUAAUAC
rnacentral:rRNA from 1 species